rnacentral:rRNA from 1 species
GAUGAACGCUGGCGGCGUGCCUAAUACAUGCAAGUCGAGCGAACAGAUGAGGAGCUUGCUCCUCUGACGUUAGCGGCGGACGGGUGAGUAACACGUGGAUAACCUACCUAUAAGACUGGGAUAACUUCGGGAAACCGGAGCUAAUACCGGAUAAUAUAUUGAACCGCAUGGUUCAAUAGUGAAAGACGGUUUUGCUGUCACUUAUAGAUUGAUCCGCGCCGCAUUAGCUAGUUGGUAAGGUAACGGCUUACCAAGGCAACGAUGCGUAGCCGACCUGAGAGGGUGAUCGGCCACACUGGAACUGAGACACGGUCCAGACUCCUACGGGAGGCAGCAGUAGGGAAUAUUCCGCAAUGGGCGAAAGCCUGACGGAGCAACGCCGCGUGAGUGAUGAAGGUCUUCGGAUCGUAAAACUCUGUUAUUAGGGAAGAACAAAUGUGUAAGUAACUAUGCACGUCUUGACGGUACCUAAUCAGAAAGCCACGGCUAACUACGUG